GAAUCGGUCCGAUUUUGAUACAAAAAAACUAGUAUAUACCGAUUUUUUGGUACCGGUUUCGGUACAGAGUUUUUAUAGUUCGGUAUUAUCGAACCGUACUAGUAUAUACCGGUUUUUUAAUUUUAUUUAUUAUUAAUAAAUAAUUAAUAAUAAUAAUAAUAAUAAUAAUAAAAAAAAUAAAAAAAAUAAAAAAAAUAAAAAAAUAAUUAUAUUAAUUUUCGGUAUUUAUUCGGUAAAAGCCGG
rnacentral:lncRNA from 1 species